rnacentral:rRNA from 1 species
CCCUUAGAUGUUCUGGGCCGCACGCGCGCUACACUGAUUCAUGCAACAAGUUUUGUCCUUGGCUGAUAGGCCUGGGUAAUCUUUGAACGUGAAUCGUGAUGGGGAUAGAUGAUUGCAAUUAUUCAUCUUCAACGAGGAAUUCCUAGUAAACGCAAGUCAUCAACUUGCAUUGAUUACGUCCCUGCCCUUUGUACACACCGCCCGUCGCACCUACCGAUUGAAUGGUCCGGUGAAGCCUCCGGAUUGGCGCGCACCUCGGUGCCGCCGAGAAGUUGGCUAAACCUUACCAUUUAGAGGAAGGUGAAGUCGUANCA